UUGGAUUCGCUAGUAAUCGCGCAUCAGCCAUGGCGCGGUGAAUACGUUCCCGGGCCUUGUACACACCGCCCGUCAAGCCAUGGGAGCUGGGGGUGCCUGAAGUUCGUGACCGCAAGGAUCGACCUAGGGCAAAACCGGUGACUGGGGCUAAGUCGUAACAAGGUAAC
rnacentral:rRNA from 1 species